GUUGCAAUUGGUGAUGGCUUCGGUUGCUGUGGUUGAGGUCUGAGUUUUUGAUUUGGUUGGAUGUGUGGAAACUAAGGGGUUAGAUUGGCAAAAGCUGUACAGAAGUUGGGAAGAUAAUCCGGAUGUCAGUUGUAUUGCACUAAGACAAAUGAUGAAAUCAAAAUGGUUGAAUUAGAAGCUAAACUUGGCAGUGAGAUGAGCAAAAUUGAAGGCCUUACUGGCAAGUCUUCCAAGCUACUAGCAUUUUGCUGACCAAAUUUGAUAUGCUGAGCGUUGUUUCUUCCCAUGUUGCAGACAAGGAAAAAGGAUUGUGUUUCAAAUCUUUUUGAGCAUGAUACUGGUACCCAUGGCUUAUGAACUAUAAUAUGUAAAAGGUUUCCAAUAACCAUUUAUAGUUGUUCCAACAGUGAUUGUAAGUAAGAUUGUUCCAACAGUGAUUGUAAGUAAGAAUACUCAAUAUUCUUAUAAUUCCAGUGGUUGAUCUCAUAUUAUGUAACGUCAAUGCAGUAUUAUAAAACCCGCAGCAACGCGCAGGUACUGUUUCUAGUUAUAAAAC